GGAAAACUCAGUAGAAAACACAUUGAGCAAAAAACCAUAUAAAACAAUGAAUCAAAAAUAAAUAAAUCGAAGAAAGCUGCGGAAUUUGUUUCGUUUAUUAGUUGAAAGAAGAAAACUCAGCUUUUCCCCAUUUUACCGGUCUUGCCUUUGUUUUCAAUUACUCCAUACACUGUAACAAACACAAGAAACACAAGACACAAAUAUCGGUCAUACACAUAAUCGGUCAUGUUACAUGAUUUGCUAGGACAGGAUUGGUUAAGAUUUAAUUGGUUUAUGAGGGUGAAAAACAGACCAGAAGGUUAAUUUGGAAAAUACGGAUUAAGUCGUGGUCAAGGUACUGCUGCCCGAAUGCUUAUAUUUAUUAUUUAAGCAUUUGGUCUUUCCGAUAGUAAAUACAUAAAAGUAAUUUGACAAUCAUAAAAGAAAUGUAGCAAUAAGUAUAAAAAGUUCGCCACGUGUCGAACGUCGUCUGGAAUCAGCGAACAUUACCGGAAGUGUAAAGAAUCAUGUUGGUCAUUAUAACCGUAGUUACGUCAUAAUAACCGGUUGGUCAAUAUAAGCGGAGUCAUACUGUAUGUGAAAAUAUAGUUGUUUCUGUAUAAAUUUCUCUCGUCAUGAUGGGAGUA